GACGUAGGGCGCAAGCGUUGUCCGGAUUUAUUGGGCGUAAAGAGCUCGUAGGCGGCUCGUUGCGUCGGCUGUGAAAACCCGCAGCUCAACUGUGGGCUUGCAGCCGAUACGGGCGGGCUGGAGUUCGGUAGGGGAGACUGGAAUUCCUGGUGUAGCGGUGAAAUGCGCAGAUAUCAGGAGGAACACCGGUGGCGAAGGCGGGACUCUGGGCCGAUACUGACGCUGAGGAGCGAAAGCGUGGGGAGCAAACAGG
rnacentral:rRNA from 1 species